rnacentral:misc_RNA from 1 species
AAGUCGUAACAAGGUUUCCGUAGGUGAACCUGCGGAAGGAUCAUUAAUAAUCCAUAAAUAUAAAAUUGAUACCUCUCCCUUGGAGCUUAUUUUUUUUUUGUUAUAGAAGAAGAAAAAAAGUUGAUAGGGAGGGCGAUAAAAUUUAAAAUAUUGCAGGGGGGUAGAAAAGAAGAGUAGUAUUUUUUUUAAUACUUAAUUUAUUUUCUCCCCCAAAGGUGAUAAAACCUAUAUCUAAUCUAUGUAUAAGCCCUGAUAUCUAAAAAUAAUUAGAGGGGGGUCUCAAUGCACAGAGGAUAAAAAUUUACUCUAUGUAAAAAAAAUAGAUACAACUUUUAACAAUGGAUCUCUUGGCUCUU